GACGAACGCUGGCGGCGUGCUUAACACAUGCAAGUCGAACGGAAAGGCCCUGCUUUUGUGGGGUGCUCGAGUGGCGAACGGGUGAGUAACACGUGAGUAACCUGCCCUUGACUUUGGGAUAACUUCAGGAAACUGGGGCUAAUAACGGAUAGGAGCUCCUGCUGCAUGGUGGGGGGUGGAAAGUUUCGGCGGUUGGGGAUGGACUCGCGGCUUAUCAGCUUGUUGGUGGGGUAGUGGCUUACCAAGGCUUUGACGGGUAGCCGGCCUGAGAGGGUGACCGGCCACAUUGGGACUGAGAUACGGCCCAGACUCCUACGGGAGGCAGCAGUGGGGAAUAUUGCACAAUGGGCGGAAGCCUGAUGCAGCAACGCCGCGUGCGGGAUGACGGCCUUCGGGUUGUAAACCGCUUUCGCCUGUGACGAAGCGUGAGUGACGGUAAUGGGUAAAGAAGCACCGGCUAACUACGUG
rnacentral:rRNA from 1 species